GUGUCAGCCGCCGCGGUAAGACAGAGGAGGCAAGCGUUGUUCGGAAUCACUGGGCUUAAAGCGCGUGUAGGCGGCUCGGUAAGUGUCGUGUGAAAUCCCAGGGCUCAACUCUGGAACUGCACGGCAAACUCCCGAGCUUGAGGUCGGUAGAGGUGCCUGGAACUCUCGGUGGAGCGGUGAAAUGCGUAGAUAUCGAGAGGAACGCCGGAAGCGAAAGCGGGGCACUGGGCCGAUUCUGACGCUGAGACGCGAAAGCGUGGGGAGCAAACAGGAUUAGAUACCCUGGUAGUCCACGCCGUAAACGAUGCACACUGGACGUUGGGCCCUCUGACGGGACCGGCGUCGUAGCAAAAGUGCUAAGUGUGCCGCCUGGGGAGUACGGCCGCAAGGCUAAA
rnacentral:rRNA from 1 species